CCUACGGGAGGCAGCAGUGGGGAAUAUUGCACAAUGGGCGCAAGCCUGAUGCAGCCAUGCCGCGUGUGUGAAGAAGGCCUUCGGGUUGUAAAGCACUUUCAGCGGGGAGGAAGGCGGUGAGGUUAAUAACCUCAUCGAUUGACGUUACCCGCAGAAGAAGCACCGGCUAACUCCGUGCCAGCAGCCGCGGUAAUACGGAGGGUGCAAGCGUUAAUCGGAAUUACUGGGCGUAAAGCGCACGCAGGCGGUCUGGCAAGUCGGAUGUGAAAUCCCCGGGCUCAACCUGGGAACUGCAUUCGAAACUGGCAGGCUAGAGUCUUGUAGAGGGGGGUAGAAUUCCAGGUGUAGCGGUGAAAUGCGUAGAGAUCUGGAGGAAUACCGGUGGCGAAGGCGGCCCCCUGGACAAAGACUGACGCUCAGGUGCGAAAGCGUGGGGAGCAAACAGGAUUAGAUACCCUUGUAGUC
rnacentral:rRNA from 1 species